rnacentral:rRNA from 1 species
ACAGAGGUGGCAAGCGUUGUUCGGAUUUACUGGGCGUAAAGGGUGCGUAGGUGGUUAGGUAAGACCUGCGGGAAAGACCUGGGCUUAACCCAGGAAGGUCGUAGGUGACUGCCUAGCUAGAGGGCGGGAGAGGAGAGCGGAAUUCCCGGUGUAGCGGUGAAAUGCGUAGAGAUCGGGAGGAAGGCCGGUGGCGAAGGCGGCUCUCUGGAACGUUCCUGACACUGAGGCACGAAAGCGUGGGGAGCAAACAGGAUUAGAUACCCUGGUAGUCCACGCCCUAAACGAUGGGUACUAAGUGUCGGCGGGUUACCGCCGGUGCCGCACCUAACGGAGUAAGUACCCCGCCUGGGGAGUACGGCCGCAAGGUUG